UGCCAGGUCUACCUCCAGAUUGUGAGGUGCUACUUUGGACUUGACGAACUCUUAUAGUAGGCAACAGAAACUCUUUACUGCAGAAAAACCGUAGUAGGUUUGAUGCUCAACAGAUUGCUCUGGAGUUAGUUAUAAGUUAAUAAUAAGUAUCCAUUGAUAUGUGUGACAAAACAUACCAACUGGUGUCAACAUCAGCUAGGCUAUGUUGGCAUUUUCUGAUGGUUCUUCAUGACUGACCAUAAGGUACAAAAUAAAUAAUACAGAAAUACAGUGCUGGGCAUUGGUAGACAAUCAUAUUAAUCUGUCUAUGUAUCUAUUUCUUCUGUGUAAGCAGUUUCUUAUGGAUCCCCAGUUGCUGCCUCCUUCUGAAGCACAGGUUAUUAGAGAGGCUGAAAACCAGACUGGAACAGGCUCUUCAAAGGCAGCCUCUGGACCUGGACUAUUUAGAGUUCCUCUGUACCAGUGAGUUGAGCCUAGUUUACUGAGUACUCACAUGCCAUUUCCAGAAGAGGUCAUAGGCAGACGGGAAAAGCAGGCCUUAAAAGAGGGCUACAGGAUACUGGGGUGCUCCCAAUGAUAACAGAACGGCCAGAACUGGCUAGAGUUCUGUUCCCACAAGGUGUCUCAUCUCUGAUGGAUCCUAAGAUGAUUUUGAAAAGAGUCGUUUGACCAGAUGAGACGGAGGUUGACGAAGAUGAAAUGGAAGACUGCUGUGUCACAGCCUACCUCAGACAAUACGCUUUUCUUUAGAGACAUUGAAAGACCUGGUGGUCUUCUGGACGGGAUGGUCUGUUGGCAGGGGCAAUGCCGACUGUACUUUGAAACUCCCC